AGCAGCCGCGGUAAUUCCAGCUCCAAUAGCGUAUAUUAAAGUUGUUGCAGUUAAAAAGCUCGUAGUUGAAUUUCGGGGUCAGCAGGUUGGUCGUGCCACUGGUAUGCACUGGCCUUGCCGAUUCCUCCCUCUUGAUGGGCCGUAAUGCCAUUAAUUUGGUGUUGCGGGGAAUCAGGACUGUUACUUUGAAAAAAUUAGAGUGUUUAAAGCAGGCAAGCGCUUGAAUACAUUAGCAUGGAAUAAUGAAAUAGGACGUUCGAUCCUAUUUUGUCGGUUUCUAGGAUUGACGUAAUGAUUAAUAGGGAUAGUUGGGGGCAUUAGUAUUCAAUUGUCAGAGGUGAAAUUCUUGGAUUUAUUGAAGACUAACUACUGCGAAAGCAUUUGCCAAGGAUGUUUUCAUUAAUCAAGAACGAAAGUUAGGGGAUCGAAGACGAUCAGAUACCGUCGUAGUCUUAAACCAUAAACUAUACCGACUAGGGAUCGGAUGAUGUUAAUUUUUUAAUGAUCAUUCGGCGCCUUA
rnacentral:rRNA from 1 species